rnacentral:snRNA from 1 species
AUGCAUGCUUCCUUUGGCUUCACAUAUACCAGGGUUAGAAUGAUAUAAAGAAGAUUAACAUGGCCCCUGUGCAAAUGAUGUACAAAGUCAUGAAGUGUUCUUAUGAUUA